AUUGCAAUAUAAACAUACAUAUCGUCACAUCGCUAGGCCUAAGAGCUCUUCUCUGUGAUGCAACACGGGUUUUCUGUUAGCUUGUUUGAAUUCGUUAUGGAAGUUCUUUUUUUAUGUGGCUAAUCUGAGUCUCACGUGCAUGUUUGUGGAAAUGAGGACCUUGUCACUAAAUAACAUAAUACAGAAAACAGGAAAACGCAGUGAACCACAAAGUCUAACAGGUUAUACUGUAAUAAUACUGUAGUACGUUUACUUAAAAAAAGAAAAAAAGGUAAGAUAAUCACACAAGUAAUAACACACAGAGGAAUGUGUAAUCAAAUGUAAUUGUAUUUAUUGAGAAGAGAGUAACACUGGACUCAUCUGACUUGCUUGUACACACAACACACAGGUGUAUUCACAUUGACUACGUUUACAUGGACAGCAGUAUUCUAAUUAUUGACCUUAUUCUGAAAAAGACGAUAUCCUGAUUAAGGUGUUUACAUGAGUUGCUUUUAGAAUACUCCUUUCAUGUCCAUGUUUUACAUGUUAUAGAACAUAGAUGAAUUAAUUGCAAACGUCAUUACUUCACCAUGCCACGCCGUCUGACGUUCCCUCCAGAAUUUCACGUAUCGACAUACAGUUCGUCUUCGUUAUGGUACUGUAUAAAGUUUUGGGUGUUUCAUUUUUAAUUUUAUGAAAGCUUCAAGUGCAGUUAUUUGUCAUGCUUUACGUGCAAACAGACCACUGCUUGAAGCCAUGGGCUGCGUCUGAAACUGCGUACUUACCUACAAUAUAGUAGCUGAGAUACAUGUAUUUCUCCUACGAUAUAGCAGGUAAGUACAUGGUUUGGGACACAGCCGUGCUCUCCUGUUUGCCGUCAAACGGUUGAGCACUGCCGUGUGUGAUCGUAUCCUGUCACAAAAUGCGGUGAAAACUCCCACAUGGCGUUAAUAAUGUGAUUAAGGCAUGUACAUGUCUAUAAUACACUUCGAUAAUGUGACUAAAACAGGAGAACUCCCCAUGUCUUAAUUUGAUUUGUGUUUACUUCGAGUGACUUUAAACGGAUCAAGGUAAUAAAAAAUCGCUGUUUACAUGGUAGUUUCUUAAUCAGACUAUCGUCUUAAUCAGGUUAAUAUUGGAAUAUUGUUGUCCAUGUAAACAUACUGAUAUACAUGCUAGCAAAGGAAGUAGGUGUAGCUGGAAGGCAGCCAAUCACAGUGCCGCUUCUUUUUUUUCUGCGAUAGCGAGGUGGAAUGCAAGACAAAACAAACUCGUUAGUGUAUAAUGCGUUUUUCUCUCUCUUUUUACCAGAUGAGUUCAGAUAUUGUAGAUUAGUAAUGGGAAUUCCAGCUCUUUCCAGUGAGUCAGUCGAGUUAUUUGGCUCGGUUUACUGAUAACAGUUGAAUCAGUCUGUACAGGAUUUCUCAGCUUUUUUUUUGUUGUUUCAGCCAAAAACGCUUCAUUUUGCCACAAAUGUGCAAUGCAACUUGCAGAGGUUUUUUUGUGCUUUUUUUUUUUCAGAAAACUACACAACAAAAUCGCGAGUGUUGAAUUAACACCCUACAGUGUUUAUAUGAGGCCACUGGACACAAAUGAACACUCUGGGUGUUAAUUCAACACUAGGGAUUUUACCGUGUACUUAAAUUGCCAAAAUCACAAUUACAGGAAAUAGUUUUACAUGGUCUUUCACAGUGAUGUUUGUUGGUAAAUGAGACCUUUUAGCUGUACUCAUGUUUGAUGCACGUGAAUCGAGGAGGCUGGAUGCAUGUCGUGAUGAUGACACAUGACACGUCUCGGCCCGAACCUAGAAAAUCUGCUGUAAUUUUGAAAACAAUUGCAAGUUCUUCCAAAAAUUGCAGAGUUUACUAGAUUCUGCUAUCACAAAAUCCUGGAGGGACUGCUGAAUCUCUUGACCCCCACAUGUUUUUCUGUCCUUGCAGUAGAAAUUUUCCGAUAUUUUGACCAGUGACUGAUGUUCUUUGUAUCCCAUUUCCCUGUGCUUUCGACACUGAAGCAUUUUGUACCUUCACUUUGCACUGAUUUUUAAUUAUUUAUACAUCUAAUUUCCGUCUUUUAUUUCCUCCUUAAAUAAACUGACCUUGCUUUUGCCCAAUUUAAAUUGCUUGAUUUUCCUCACUCUAUUCCCAAUUUGAUAAUCUGUCAAUUUCCACCCAUCAGCCAGCAUGACACACCUGUGGAAUACAAACUCAUGAUCUACUGACUACAGAAUGAACACUUUUCUUUUGCACAAAUUUACAUGGCUACAUUUAAAAAAAAAUCUAAUUAAAGUCACAACUCAUUUGCAUUAAACAUCACGGGAUGUGAAGCCUCAAACCGCUGCUCAUGCCCCAUUCAGUGUACACGAGCUAACUCGUCCAUGACCAGCUAGUGUUGCUAUAAAGUGAUAGUAAAGAGCAGAACAGGACAAGUAUGUUCUCUUUCUACAUGGUCUUUAUUUAUCCAUCCAUCUUCAAUACCGAGAGCCUGGAGCCUAUCGCAGGGAAGGCGGGGGACACCCUGGACAGGGGGGCAACAUAUCUCAGGGGAUCUUAUUUGUAAGUGAAUAUAUUCUGAAGGGUUAAAGAAUAUGUGUGUAAUAACCUAGUAAUAAAAUGACAUCUCAACAAUGAUGUUUGGAAACUGUGCAAUGGAAAACAGUAUCAAGAGAACGUUCUGGGAAAGACUGUAUGUGUUCCAGCACAGAGCCCAGCAUUCCAGAUACCAGAGAUGGAUAGUCAAAGUGGUGAUGAAGUCUCCCCAGAUGAAUGUGGAACAAAACAUGGAUGGCGAAUGAACAGGAGCGGAGAAUCUUUACCGAUACGACUCUGCAGACGUUCAUGCAAACGAUGAUGAUAUGCUGCAUAUUGAUCAGUGUUUAGUUCACUGCUAGAACCAGGAAGUGAUGCUUCGUGUUUUUUUUUUCUCUCUCAAGUAAUCUCAAUAUUCUUCACACGUCCGUCAUCCCACUCAUCCAUUCACACCCUCCACGUUUAUUCCUGGACACCACACUCCGAUUGUUAAUGUCACAUUUACAUUCAGUUUAAAUAUAAUGGCUGAAUCUGGAACAGAACAUCCUCAGACAUCUCAUCAGAAAUUUCAGCUACCAAAUUCUGCCAAAAUUUUAAUCAUGAGCAAUGAGCAUAAAGGGAAUGGGGGGGGGGGGGGGUGGGGGACUCCUUAUCCCACAGCGAUGUUGGAUUCUGGAUCGUGAUUGGUCCGAAGGUGUUGAUUAAUUUUCAAGAACAGCAGCUCUGACGGUAGCGCAGCUGCAAAUCACGGGUUUAUAUUAAUAUUAAUGCGCUCGUUCUAAUACAUGUGCAAUCAUUGAUGUGGUUUAGAUUUGUGGAAGGAGUCUCCAGUGUUGGCGCUUUGUGAAGCUGUAACUUUAAGUUUUCCGUUAGUGAACGAGUGAACGCUACAUUUUACAGUUGAAUAAUUGGUCAUAUUCCAACAAUGAAACCAAAAAAUAAGAACGUGUGUAUUUUUGGGAUGCGACGUCCCACUUUAACUUAGAUAGGACUGGUAAGAGUGUUGUCAUGGUUACAAGAGUGUGCAGGUCAUGUGAGCAUGUGGGCUUUUGUUUUCAUAUCAGCCAAUGAUUUUUCUUUCUUUUUUUUGAAAAAAAAAAAGCCAAAUAUGAAAGCAUCUUAGUGUUUCGAGUUUUCUACAGCAGAGAAAUCUGAGGGUUCUGUUCCUCUGAUAUGAAAUCCUUAAGGCUAAAAUCCCUCUCUGCUUUAAAGAGCCGUUUUAAUAGUUAUGCUGCACGAAGUGAGAUUUAUUAGCGCGUUGCACAACACGUCAUGUUACUAAAGACCAUAUCUUUCGUCAUAGCCUGAAGGGAAGUUCCACCCAGAACAUCCUAAAAAUAUCUCUCACUUAAGUGACGAGAAAUUUGUUUUGAAAAUGAGACGAGCCGUUUAAACACACCAAGGAGCCAUGUGACAGUCCAGGGCAUUAAGAUUUAUGAGAGAGAUUCUCCUUUUUAAAAAAAGACUUCAAAGGCUUUGAAUGCAGGCACGGGUCAGAAGAUUCCAUAAAAAACGUUCACUCUUGCUCUAUUUGUGUGUUUUUUCACUUCAUAAAAAGUUCACAUCUCAGUAAUGCAGAUGUUUGGUUGGUGGGCGAUGCUAAGUGUAUAUAAGUACAGUAUUGUUUUAGACGAACAGUAUAUUUUACUAGUAAUUUUGAUAUUUUUGACUCGUUUUCAUCGUCACUGCACAUAUAGACGACUUAACUGCCAUAAACUGGCUAGCUAAAUCGUGAAUAUAUCCAGUUCCCUAGCAACAAUGAAUACACAGCUAUAACCACGUUUUGAUACAAAGUCCACUACUAAGCUUCGAUACUCGUUUCGUAUUACCCACAUGACACGUGUGGCUGUUUAGAGGCGAGGAAACGUCGCUGCACUUCAAUGAAAGAUUACAGACUUGGAAGAAUUUUGCCUUUCUAAGUGAUUACUGAAAGCGAAUUAGCACACGAAGUACGCGAGGUUAGUUCAGAUUGCAUACAUUUUGAGCGCUAUGAAUUGUGCAAACACAAAAGUAGCAGUGAAGCGCGUGUACAGAGAAACUGUCGCAUGUGACAGAGAUCAUUUCACUUCUGCGAGCACUGAGACAUGCCCACUUUCCAGGUUGGUCCGCAUUAGAGGUCGGCCGGUUGAUCGGUUUUGCUGAUUAAUUGGCACCAAUAACCGAUUGCUGGUUAUGAGCAAAAAGAUUAGUUGAUUAAUGGGUUUUCAGCAGCGCAACUUAGUUAAAUCCACUAUCUUGUCGACCUCUAGACCGCAUUCUUGCGCUGUAUUAAACAUCUUAAACAUAAAACUCAGUACGAGGAGUUCAUCGCGGGCACAUGACAACAACCAACCAAUGGUAAAUAAAACAGUUCUGUAAUGUAUGUGAUUCAUUAAUGCUAAGAAAGUUACUCAUUUUGGUAACGACAAACGAAAAAACCUGCUGCAUCCAUAGUGUGUAUUAGACAAGUAAAUGACUGCCCAUGUUAAACCACUGUAGUCAAAAAUGUUCACUACUUGUUAAAGUUAAAGUGCAUGAAUGGCGUGGUGGUCAGGGUGAAGUGGAGCGUGAGGCGAGGGUGGUGAAAGUACACACACUCCCCACAGCCAAGCGCACACUGUUUACGCAGCCUGCACUCCCAUAUUCAGGCACGUUGUGCAACAUCAACGCAUCAGAAGCUGUUUGCUGCCAUGCCGGACGCUCAGAGAGCUCCAGGUCGCUUCACACUGUGAGAUUCCGUCCAAGUGUCAAUUCCUGAGAGGACGCUGCAGGCCUCAGCGAUGACGGCUCCCGGAAUGAAACGAGGUCACUUUUGGAAGUAGAAAAAAAACAUUACCGGGGCACGUAAAAAUAAAUAUCAAACUACAAAGUGUUGAAGGUUCUGAGCGUUCUAGCAGGACAACGCCCAAGGAAAAAACGACCACAACAAACGCAUUGUAACCACUCGUAUAUUUGCACAAGAGGUCGUCAGACGAGGUUUCCACGAACGAGCCUGUGCACGGAGCAGCUAACGCCGAUCGUCCCACACCCAAACGGCCUGAGGAGGAGUAGGAGGAGAGCCUGGAGUUUCUACCUGCCAUGCGUUUGCAGGGCGUGUUCCAAUCCAUCGAUGACUCAUGAACCCCCAUCGCUCCAUUUGCUCUAUUGGAAUCUCCACCGGUUAGUUCUGGGCGUGUUAGCCGACUUGAGCACGGGAGAAAACCUGCGCUUGUUUUUUAUCCACACUACGCUGUCAUUCUGUAAAGGAGAAAAAAAAGUUUUCCUACAUAACAGUUCCUUCGAGCCCGAGGGUGUUUUUUUAAAGCUCAGGAAGAUCAUAAAUCAUUCAGAAACAUGGCAGCGUUUUGUUGCAAUGCAGCCUAGAAACAGUGCAAAUCUCACCAACGUGCAUAUUUUUAAUGUGAUAAAUGGCAAAGUAACAAUUACAGACACAAUCAGCGCUCGGUACACUUUCACUCACAUUACACUUUAAUCUAAACUUUGUUUUGAGUUCUAGCUCAAUUAUCUGCAACCUUAAAGCUAAAGCGAAGAACCGCAAUUCCCACCAUUGCUCGGAUAAAUUACUCGGAUGCAUCUUUACUGUGAAGUAAAAGCGGAACGGGCGUGUUAGUGAAAAAAAAAAUGGCGCCUGGUUUGUUCGGGGUCUAAAUAUUAUGCUCGGUACGCUCUAAUCAGUUUUCUGUGACACUAUGAACAUAUAUUUAAUCAUAUCUACACUGUAUAAGCACUAUCAUCAACCUACAUAAUGUAUUGUUUCCCCUACAGUCAGCGCCAGAAUUAUUGGCACCCUUGUAAAAAAAGAUGGAUUAAAGAUGCACUGUAAAAUAUUGUAUUUGUGGUUAAUUAUGGGAGAAAUCUAACCGUUAAUUAAAGGUCAAUUUAAUGUAAAGAAAAAGUAAACUUUCAGCAAAAACCUGUAUCAUAAUUAUUGGCACCCAUACAACUUUAUGAACAAAAGGGCUCUUUAUUUGACUUUUUUUUUACCUCCACCGAGUGUUUAGGGACUCUUAGUGUUUCACUGGGGUGUAAAUAUGAAGUGAUACAGAGGCCAAAUAUGUCAGUCAUUUUUAUAAUUCCGGCACGAAACUGAAUUCUAAACCAGAGAUCUGUGCACAACCUGGUAAACUUUUUUGAAACAUUUUCCUCCAAAAACAACGCUUGUGUCUAACGUUUUGCUCCUGUUCAUCCUCCUUAAAGUAUCCCGUGCUGAAUUAUUGUUAAUGAAGAAUGUGGAUUCAUGUAGGGAGGGGAAAAAAGGGGAUGUGGGACUGCUUGAUCUCGAUCCAGCGCCGGGACCAAUCAGAAGCGGAGUAGGCUGGGUCAUGUGAUCAGCGUAUGAGAUUCCACAUGUUUGGAUGAGUCAGUGUUCCCCAUUUUUCUCUCUGUUCAGAGAAGAGCAUGAGUCUGAGUCAUCCAUGAUCAUCUCAUACACACACACACACACACAAACACGCACACACACACACACACACUCACACACACACACACACACACAGUCUAACUGUAUCAGUGUCUCUCUCUCUCUCUCUUUCUCUAUCUUUAUCUGAGUCCAGAGGCAGAAUAGCUUUAUAUGUGCUGGGGAGACAAACCUGGAGAUCAGUCCGGUAUUCCCCCAUUCACAUUCCCAAAAUGCUCUCUCUCUCUCUCUCUCUCUCACACACACACACUCACACACACACAGAUAGAUGAAGAGACAAGGAGAGGGACAAGGGGAGGCAGGCAGACAGAGAGAGAGAGACACAUAGAUGGAGAGAGUGAGACAGUGGUACGGAGAGACAGAAGGAGAGGGAGAAAGACCGAUGGAGAGAGAAAUGAAUAAGAAAAUGAGAUAACUAACAUGAGGAGAUGAAUCACGGGCCUGAAUUAGGACAACACACACAGAGGAAACAUUUAUCUGCCUCGAACAUCUCCUAUUACAGUCACACACCGAAUCUGGGAUCUCAGAAUCCUGAAAUCCUGUUGUGUACGAUUCCGGAGUGCAGGAUCAGUCUUUCCUGUCGGGAUCAUCG
ensembl:lncRNA